GUUGUUGCGGUUAAAAAGCUCGUAGUUGGAUCUCGGCGGGCAGGGGGUGGUUCGCUCUUCAGCGCUACUGCCCCGCUUUGCCCGUGUGAUUGGCGGAGGUUUCGGGGUGCUCUUCGUUGAGUGACUCGGAGCGCCGUCAGGUUUACUUUGAAAAAAUUAGAGUGCUCAAAGCAGGCUUUUCACGCUUGAAUAUUCGUGCAUGGAAUAAUGGAAUAGGAACUCGUUUCUAUUUUGUUGGUUUUCGGAAAUCGAGUUAAUGAUUAACAGGGACAAUUGGGGGCAUUAGUAUUCAGACGACAGAGGUGAAAUUCUUGGACCGUCUGAAGACUGACUACUGCGAAAGCAUUUGCCAAGAGCGUUUUCAUUAAUCAAGAACGAGAGUUAGAGGUUCGAAGGCGAUCAGAUACCGCCCUAGUUCUAACCAUAAACGAUGCCAGCUAGCGAUCUGCCGAGUUUUUUUUGUAGGCUCCGCAGGAAGCUUUCGGGAAACCAAAGCUUUUGGGUUCCGGGGGAAGUAUGGUUGC
rnacentral:rRNA from 1 species